CCUCAGGCCCGGCCUAUUUACACAGAAAUCUGCCACUAUUCCACUUCGGAAUAAGGGACUGAAGCACUGCUGAAGAUCCCCGUUUAAUCACUUUUGGAAAAAAAACAUUUGAAGAUGUUAAAAUUGGUGGUCAGACACUUUGCGUUCAAUUCUAACCCACUCUCUCCAAACAAAAAUGGCCAGGACCGAAGCAUUUCUGAAGAUUACAGCUUAUUCCACUGAGCUGCUCCUACUCUAUUGACGAGCCAAACUGGCAACAUUUUGCUGAGGCUAGUGUUGUGCAGUCUUCAAGAGCCUGAUGGUAGUUGGGAAGAAGCUAUUCUUAAGGAUGGUGGCCAUGGUUUCCAGAUUCCCAAAAAAGCAUGGCCAGGAUGGUGUGGGUCUUUGAUGACACCGGCUGCCUUUAUGAGGCAGCGCCUCCUAUAAAUCCCUUCAAUGGCGGGAAGGUCAGUUCCUGUAACGUCUACCACUUUUUGUAAUCUUCUUUGUCCCUGGGUGUUUUGAGUUGCCGAACCAGGGCCUGAUACAACCAGUCAAUAUGCUCUCUACCACGCACCAAGCGAGUGUUCGUUGACAUACUGAAUCACCUUCAGUCUUCUAACGAAGUAGAGGAAUUGAUAAGAUUUCUUUAUGAUUGCUUCAGUGUACGGGGCCCUGGAACUUGAAGUUGUUGAUUCUCUCCACUGUCAACCCAGAGAUACAGACCCUUCCAAAGUCACCAAUCAGCUCAUUGGUCUUGUAAAUGUUGAGAGCAAGAUUGUUGUUCUGGAACCAUUCAGUCAGAUUUUCAAUCUCCUUCCCAUACUCUGACUCAUUAUUGCUAAUUAUUCAUCCAAUAACUGUGGUGCAGUUGGCAAAUUUAAUGAAGGCAUUGGAACUGUGUCUGGUUACACAGUACUGAGUUUAAAGUGAGUGGGGUAGGGAACUGAGCACCCAGCCUUGAGGUGAUCCUGUGCUGUUGGUCAUCGAGAAGGAAGUAUUGUUGCAAAUUCAUAUUGAUUGUGCUUUGCCGAUGAGGAAGUUGGGGAUCCAGUUGCAAAGAGAUGAACAGAGAUCCAGUUCCCUGAGUUUGGAGAGAAUUUUGGUAUUGAGUGCCAAGCUGUAGUCAAUGAAAAACAGCCAAUUUUCCCAAUCCUUCUAUGAUGCAAAUGUUAUCAUCUGUGGCUAUGUUCAUGCCAGGCUUUACCUAUUAUAUAUUCACCCAUGUAAGCAAUGCAAGUCCAACCAUUCAGGAAGUGGCACAAUAUGGACACAUAAUCUUCCAAUCUGAUGGCUUCUCGUUCCAUCUAGAAAGAAACCCAUGUUGGAUCUGGACCCAUUGUCUUCCAGCAUUGGGUUGCCAUUUUUGGUGUUUCUGUUCAGAUUCCCAUUUAACCAUCUAAUUUUAGGAUUGUCUCUCUUGGAAAUGUGUGUUUAAUAUCUUGUUAGUUUAGU